rnacentral:tRNA from 1 species
GCUCUCAAAGGAUAACAGUUUAUCCAUUGGUCUUAGGAACCAAAAACUCUUGGUGCAAAUCCAAGUGAGAGCU